AUGUGUGAGGGUUUCUUGGGCUGUCGACCGCACUGGGGUUUGUUCAAACAUAUCUUCACGUGUCGCUCUCAGACCGUGAAGAAGGCGAGCCCAGGUGAUGAGAAAACCCGAGUCGUCCAAAUGUGUGGGGGCCUGGGGAUCCAGGUGAGGAAUAAGAGCACCUUCCCGCCCAUGACCUUUCCCGAGUCCGUCAGAGGCUGGCAGUCGACUUGGUUCUACUGCCAGGUCCAGUCGACGCCAGGGCAGUCGAGUGGACUCCCUCCGUUUACCAUGGACCGAGUGAACAAGCCCUCCCCUCUGAAGCUGAUUCCGGAGGAGAAAGCCGACGUGAAGAUGUUGAUGGAGCGCGUGGUGCAGUUGGUUCGGGAGGGGGUGACGGGCAUGGAUCUUCUGGAGGUCUUCCUCAGGCGUCGCAUCCAACCCCUUCAAUUCCGGAGCCACUGCAUGUGGUUAUACUGUGGGACCGAAGACGAGACUAGAGUCCAUCCAGAAGCAGUCGACGACGUUACUCUGGAAAGAUGGAUGGUAGCCGUUACCGGAAACAAGGACAACCCGCGCGGAGCCAGAAGGAUUCCUCCACUCGACCACAACAACGACACAAACAAGGUACACUUGCUCUGCUCUCCACUGCGCCCUUGUCGUAUUCAUUUCUGUUAA
rnacentral:rRNA from 1 species